UAUUUUAUUUUAUUUUAUUUUGCUUUAAGGGUAGUGAAGCACUGGAACAGGCUGCCCAGAGAUGAGGUAGGUGACAAUCAAGGUCAGCCAGGUCCAAUCUCUGAGUAACCCAAUUGAGCUGUUGAUGUCUCUGUUCAUUGCAGGGGAGUUGGACUAGCUGACCUUUAAAUUCAAGAUGACCUUCCAAUUCAAAUGGUUCUAUGGAUCUAUGUUCAUCCAGCUCCAGCCCCCUGCCAUGGGCAGGGUUGCCUGCAGGGUCUCACCACCAUCCCAGUGAUGCUCACCACCCCAAUAAGGAAACAAGGAUCUGACCCUACACACCAAGUCCUACAGAGAGUUGGGCAACAGUUUGGUGGAACUGCUCUUCAGAAAGGUGCUUUGGGGUUUUCCUGCUUGCCUUAACACUCAUAUUGUUGGCUUGUGUGGGUGGUGGCCAUAGAAAGGCUUGACUGUCUGUAUUUGCCAUUUGCCCUAAUCUUUGCAAGCCUUGAUGGCUCGAAUUGGCUUCAUGCACUCUUUCAGCUUUGCUCACACAGUCACAGCUUGGGCUAAAUUUAUUGCAUGGGUUUGGCUGCUGGAGGCUGCAGGUUUGCAGCUGUGAUGCUGGAGGGGAAGGGUUACAACCAGACACAGCAGAUCUGACCAUACAACCACCUGGCCCCAAAGCAGCUACGUCACAGCUUCCCCUUCCUUCCAUUCGACUCAUCACUUAGGUAUUUAAACUGCUAUUUAUUAUCUGCAAUCAAAUAUUUAUUACGUCAUCUGUAAUUGUGUGUUUCUUCACCUCUGUGAUUAUGCACAUGCAAGCUCCAGCCACUGAAAGGAUGCAGUGUUUCUCUUGCCGUGCUUAGGCACUUCUUCCAUGCACUUUUCUCCAGUGCCUCCCAUCACUUCGGGAUACAACCUCAAAAUGCUCUUCCUCUCCUCGACGCCAUGUACUAGGAUAAGCAGGGACAGGUGAAGUGCCCAUUUCAAAAGUCUGAUUCAAGUUCUUGGGAUCCACAGGGUAAUUUUCUGGAUAGCCUCAUCCUUGUGUUAAUGAUUGCCAUCUAUCUUUGAUCCCCAUCAACUCUAAUUGCUGUGCAGAAUCAGUUGUUAGACAUUGCACUUAUGUUUUUUUUUUCUCCCCACACAUCUCAGAGGAGUUUUUGCUCCUCCAGGAUGGUUUUGUGCCAUGGAAGGAGGUCACAUUUUGAUGCCAUAGAGCUGCAGUGCUUUUUGCUCUUCAUGUUUAUGUUCCCUUAUGUUUACUGUGGGGCACUAGAAGGCUCUUCUGCAGAAAGGAUAGAGCAAACGAAGCAGGCAAACCAAGCAAAAUAAGACAGUUUUGCUUUAAAACGGCCUGGAAAACGAAAGAAAACAAUCCUGUCUUUUCCUGCAGGCUGCGGGGGACUGUCUCUGCUGCCACAGGAUGUAUAAAUCCAAUGCAAUGAAAUAUUAAUUAUUAGAGUCUAUCCAACUGGGAUUCCUUUCAGAGAGCUGAAUAAUUCCGGUGCACUGAAAAAAAACCAAACCAAACCAAAACACACACAAAGUCAGAGGUUUUUUUGUGUUUUUGUUUUUUUUUUUUUUUACAUGAAAAUAUUGUGUCUGGAGUAAAUUAGAGCUUUUGAGCACUCAGGCUUAGAGACAGGAGGGUGCUGUGAUUGCUUCAAGGCAAAAAGAAGCAAAUUCCUAAUUAGGAUGUGAAAAAGAGUUGUGGUCAAAGGAAGAGGUAAAGAGAGGUGCAUUGGUCAGCAUAGCUUCUUCAGCCCAGAGAGCUGCCCUUGCAGCUUGGUGUAGGGGUAAAGUAAAAGCAGAAGUCGAUUAAUAAAAGAGAGCAUGCAUCUCUGAAGGCUGUUGUUGUGCAGCACUUCAGAAGGAGGCAUUCAUCCGGAGAAGCCAUGGCACUGGCCCCAGGGAGAUGCACUCGGCAGGGCUCAAAGCCCCUUUUGUCCCCUUGUUUACCAGCACUGGGUUGGAAGCACCACACAGCACAGAGCAUCAUCCUUUGGCUGAGCAGUGCUUUGCAGAUUUGAAAGCUCAGAGAGUUGAUUGUGAAGCGAGUACUGGGCUGCAGAUGUGCUCUGUUUUUGUCAUGGGAGUUGGUGUAAAGGUUCAGCAACCAAAUUACAGCCCCAGACCUGGGAAGAACUCUUCAACCCUCUCAACUUACCCAAGUUCAUGCAUUUCCAUUCUCCUCCAAGAAGUGCUUCUUGGAAGGAGGGAAAGGCACUCAGUAACACCUCUAGCAAUGAAGAAUCCCUGAGCUCUCAUUGUCAUUAUUCAUUUUUUCAGCUUCCUUUUACCCUCCAUUCUCUGCAGCUUCUGGAAACAUUUACAUGAAAUACUCAAAAAUCUGUAUUCUUCUCUCAUAAACCUCUCUAAAUGUUCCUCCCCAGAUUGACCCAAAGGCUGCGAAUACUUUUCAUUACCCUGCAGUUGCUCUGAGGGAUGUCUGAGGAAUGGGCAAAUGAAUGACUCACUGUAGGACGAUGCAUUGCCAAGAGGUAGAUCCAGGGAAAUUGAUUCACUUGGCUCAAACAGCAGCUGCAAGCAAGGCAACACAAAGAGGAUGGCCAAUGAGAGCCCAUGGAAAUGAAGAUGGGGACAAAGACUGCAGAUAAGUAUUUUGUUUCUUAUAAAAGUGUGGUAUCAUGAACAGAACCAACAGCAACAAGAAUGUCAACUGCUAAUGGCAUGAUAGCAUAGGGAUGUCACUGGCACUAGCUGGGGACCAGGAGCAAGAGGCUGAACAGAGGGGGCAAGGGAGAAAAUCAGUGGUUGGGAUCCAUUACAAGAUCAGGAUUAUAUGCUAUUUCCCUUCCCCAGCAGACAUGAUGUGAGUUUGUACAGUUGACCUUGAAUUGGCACAAAGAGGUAUUUAUUUCUGGUCUACCCUCUAUUCCAAGGCUGGAAAGCUGCUCUUUGCUGUGUGACACCCAGCUGCAUCCAAGACAAGGCAAGACUGCAGGAGAAACCCCUCUAGAGAGGCACAGACCAUGCAGAAUCAGCAUCUCCCUCCUCCAAGCUGCAGAGGACAUAGCAUGGUUACUUCUCUGUCAAGUUGCUGGGGUGAUGGAACUCAGACAUCAGAAGCCAGUAAGAAGCUCCAGAUGGAGAGGCAAGACAAGGCAGAAGCAUGUAGAAAGGCACUAUAUAGAAAGCUGGAUGAGAAGUGAAGCUGCAUUUGUCCAAUAUAGGAUACCAAUGAAAAAGGGUAAAAAAAUGAGUACAAAACAAAAGGAUAAUAGGAUUAUGUCAUGUACCUGGGUUAGGAGAAGCUAGGAAAUUAGUCUGAACCUACAGGACUUCUUUUCUUCACUUCUCACCCCUACCUUCAAGUCUUACCUCUGGAAGGGCAAUAGACAAGAUUUGCUUUCACAGGGAGCCUGAGUGGGAACUCCUUUGGGACUCCUGGCCUCCUACUUGGACAGAAUCCUCCCUUUCAGGUCCAGAAACGCAUAGGAAGAGGGAGCAGUAGAGAUUUAACCCUCUCACAUUCUUUCUCUAAUAUAAGUAGGGUUUUGCAGCACCAGGAAUGAACUACAGAGACACUUUCUGCCUGAAAGGGAGCUUCCAAGAAGUGAAUGUAAACCCUACUUAAAACCAGCUGCAAUAAUUCCCACCCAGCUCUCCCUCUAAGCCUUGAGAGGUUCAAGAGUCCAUCUUAAGAAAUAGAAAGAAGAAAUUACAGAGCACACCUAUAUAAAACAAAGAGCUCAUUCACAUAGAGAUUACUUCUGGGAAGGAGAGAACUCCUCACCUGACCCACACCUUCGUAAGUAAAUGCCCUGUGUGCAAGAGAAUGGGGAGUUGUAUACAACCCACCAAGCUAGAAACACAACUUUUUUUCUUUGUUUUUUUCCUAAAAUGGCAGCUACUCACCUCCCCGUCCCUCCUUUACAAGCUUGAUACACUACAGGCUAACUAAAAGCUACCUUGGUUUGCAGAGAUAACACAUUGUGCUCUUCUCAGGUUCAUGGCAGCAGAAUGAAUUUAUGACCCCUCUUGCAGUUAUUUAAAGGCUUAUUUUCGAGGCAAACUGAUCACUUGUAAUUGCAGCCUAAUCCAGAUAUGGAUUAAAAAUUGUAAUUAAGCAAUUUAUUGGAAUUCCUCAUGCCCCAGCUUGCAGCAGCACAGGAUUAAGAUCUAGAGAAGCUGUUCUCAGCACCUGAGAUGGACACAGUUAGACUGAGAUAUUCCUGAGCCUGUGUUGUUCUUUUAAAUAAUGCAUGUGCUCGACUGGCCAAGAAUGUGGCAAUUAUUUCUAAAAAGAAGCCAUAGGACAAACCAGCCAGCAUGUCAUCUACUCACUCCCUGUGGGAUGCUAGUGAUGGGCAGCUAUCUCCCUCCUCCCAAAGCUGGGCACAGUGCCACAAGCUCUCCCUCCCACUGCACAAACUUGAUAUCCUAAGGUUUUAUCCUUGCCUUGGCAGCCUUCCCUCUUCCUCUCAUUAGACUGCCCUUCGUUUUGUCACAGAGAUUCAAUUUCUUGUAGGUUAAUCAUUCACUUUCCUUUGCAGCCGCUCACCUUGGCACCAGCAGUACCACAUUUACAAACGCAUGACAAGGGCUAACGCCUGUCCCAGCAGAGCUUAUUUUACAGCUAUCUGAACAUAGCCAACAGUUGAUGGACACAGAGUACAACUGCAUCCACACACAGAGCUCCUGAAGCACGUAUUUUAUUGAUGCCAAACCACAGCUGUGAUCUCCUCCUACUAGAGGAGGCUGAAAAAGAAGUUAUUCCAUUUACUGCAUUCUGAAGAAGAAACUCUGAAGCCCAGCAGCGAUGGUCUUGCUUAAAUAGUUUCCUAUCCCACUGACACAAAUAUUACCCUUCAAAGUUUCUGUUCCAUUUUUCCUAUUUCUUUUUCCCCCCAGCAGUUUUGCAACAUCAGGACUCACGAGAAGAAGGUGGGGAAGAGAGAAGAACCCUCUGGCAACCCUCCAUGUUUCUCUUCCUCAUAUCCCUGCAGGGGUUUUCCCACCUCUCACCUGUCUGCCAACCUACAGCUGUUUUGUUUCCUCCUUAAUCUGAUGGCUCACCAGGGAGCAGACAGAAUGUAAGAAGCAGUCCAACAGAAAACACUCCUUGCUAAGGAGCUCUUAUCACACCCACUUCCUUCUCUGCACCAAUUAAGAUGGAUCAACCCAAAGGCUGUCUCUUUGAAGAGCCUGCAG